AAACCCUUCUGAUACUAUGGGUCCACCGCUGUCACCCUGAAAGAAAUAUUUGAUAGUGUCAUCUGUCAAAUAUGGUCAUUCACGCACACACGUGCAUACUCACAUGUACGCAUACUCUUUAAUUAAAAUUUUCAUAGUAUUUAUUACAGUACUGUAUAAUAUUUUUAAGUACAAUUGUUAUUGUUUUUUUCUUCUUCUACAAGAAGAGUCUGGUUUCCUCUGGCUUUGAGUGUUCAUGGGCAUUAUGACUUAACAUCAGUUGAGCCUCUUGCCCGUUUGGCCCCUGCUCUAUAAAAAGACUCUUAUUGAAGGAGAUUUUUUCUUUAUUCAUUUACGUAAAGAUUUAAAUUGAUUCAAAAUUUACUACCAGUUCGCAAGUCAAGGGCGUAGAGCGGGCGAGAACAACUGGCAAGAAACUCUGCCACCCCGUAGAACAAGGAGAGAUUUUCAAGAAUGAUUGCUGACCCUCAGUAGUUGGAGAGGCGUCACAAAAAGAAUAUGAGAUUCUAGAUGAGACGAUUGCCAUUUGGUUAGCUGGAAGUCUACUAUCCCUCGCAGCCAGUAGAAUAGGCAGGACUCUCGACGAGAAUCGGAGAGUUGUGUACAGUCGUAAUAGCCCAGCGUCGUUGAAGAGUUUUUGUUAUAUGGAGGGUAGAGAAAAAAAACACACGUCUUAACUUUGCCUGACGUAAUACACGAUAGGUAAAGAUGGUGCGUUUAGUAACUGAGACCAAAAUUUCCUACGGGCAAUGUUAUCUAAGAAUAAUGGCACACGUGU